AAUCCAUGCAUAGGACACUUCCACAGCAAAUCUUUAAAUAUUUCCCACGCUUCAUACAAGCUUUCAUUGUCCAACUUCUUGAAUGAAGUUAAAUCAUUUUGAAGAUU